UCCCUGGUGGCUCAGUGGGUAAAGAAUCUGCCUGCAAUGCAGGAGACCCAGGUUUGAUCCCUGGGUCGGGAA
rnacentral:tRNA from 1 species